rnacentral:lncRNA from 1 species
UCAUAUCUCUCAUAUUAUUGAUUCGAUUAUUGUCACAGUAUCAUCUGCAUAAUAUGAUAUAUUAUUAAAUCAAUAAUUGAGACGACAAAGUUAUUCAUAUUAUUAAAUUGUAAUAUUUACAAUGUCUAGAAGUUCUGUCAAGGAGAGGUUUUGUCAUCUAAUUGCGCGCCAAUAAGGAGAAAUCCUUAUCGGAAAGCCCCCCCUUUCUUGAGAACGAUCUGGUUGUUAAAUAUUGUGAAUUAUAAUAUUAAUGAUGAAUAAGUUUGUGUUGAUUAAAGAUGAAAUUGAUAGUUCCAUUGUGAUGGAAUUGUUAGUGUUAAUGAAAAUCGACAUUUAUUUCGAUAUUAAUUGAUGUCUGGAAGUUAUACUGACCAGUCGGGUAAUUAACCGGAUAAAUGAGCAAUUAAUUGCUAUUAAUUCACAUGAUUAUAACUAUUUGUUCAUAUGUGUGUACUAUUAAUUCACAUUCUUGUACUAUUAGGGGAGUUGGUGCAAGAUUGAUAAUACUUGCAUGACUAAGUAAAAAAUAGAGGUAUAAAUGGAGGUACUAUAUUGUAAUUCGUAUUUUUACAUGAUUAUAAC